rnacentral:rRNA from 1 species
GAUGAACGCUGGCGGCGUGCCUAACACAUGCAAGUCGAACGAAGCGCCUUACCGGAUUCUUCGGCUGAAGGUCUGGUGACUGAGUGGCGGACGGGUGAGUAACGCGUGGGUAACCUGCCCUGUACAGGGGGAUAACAGCUGGAAACGGCUGCUAAUACCGCAUAAGCGCACGAGGAGACAUCUCCUUGUGUGAAAAACUCCGGUGGUACAGGAUGGGCCCGCGUCUGAUUAGCUGGUUGGCAGGGUAACGGCCUACCAAGGCAACGAUCAGUAGCCGGUCUGAGAGGAUGAACGGCCACAUUGGAACUGAGACACGGUCCAAACUCCUACGGGAGGCAGCAGUGGGGAAUAUUGCACAAUGGGGGAAAGCCUGAUGCAGCAACGCCGCGUGAGUGAAGAAGUAUUUCGGUAUGUAAAGCUCUAUCAGCAGGGAAGAUAAUGACGGUACCUGACUAAGAAGCUCCGGCUAAAUACGUG